rnacentral:rRNA from 1 species
AGGACGAACGCUGGCGGCGUGCUUAACACAUGCAAGUCGAGCGGUAAGGCCUUUCGGGGUACACGAGCGGCGAACGGGUGAGUAACACGUGGGUGAUCUGCCCUGCACUCUGGGAUAAGCCUGGGAAACUGGGUCUAAUACCGGAUAUGACCUGCUCUCGCAGUGGGGGGUGGGUGGAAAGAUUUAUCGGUGCAGGAUGGGCCCGCGGCCUAUCAGCUUGUUGGUGGGUAAUGGCCUACCAAGGCGACGACGGGUAGCCGACCUGGAGAGGGUGACCGGCCACACUGGGACUGAGACACGGCCCAGACUCCUACGGGAGCAGCAGUGGGGAAUAUUG